GCCCGGUUGGCACAAUUGGUCAGCGCGUGAGACUUUUAUGACAUCUCCCGGUUUCGGGAGUCAUAAUAGUGAUCUCAAGGUUACGAGUUCGAGCCUCGUAUCGGGCG
rnacentral:tRNA from 2 species